rnacentral:rRNA from 5 species
CUCGUGAAUUCAUCUCCGGGGGUAGAGCACUGUUUCGGCUAGGGGGCCAUCCCGGCUUACCAACCCGAUGCAAACUGCGAAUACCGGAGAAUGUUAUCACGGGAGACACACGGCGGGUGCUAACGUCCGUCGUGAAGAGGGAAACAACCCAGACCGCCAGCUAAGGUCCCAAAGUCAUGGUUAAGUGGGAAACGAUGUGGGAAGGCCCAGACAGCCAGGAUGUUGGCUUAGAAGCAGCCAUCAUUUAAAGAAAGCGUAAUAGCUCACUGGUCGAGUCGGCCUGCGCGGAAGAUGUAACGGGGCUAAACCAU